GCUAACCAAUGCAAAUCAUGUGAUGCUUGUUGAGAGUGCAUGUUCAUUCAGCAAACAGUCGGAAAAGGCAAAAAGCAAGGAAGUAAGGCUUGAGAGCAGAGACUUUCAUUAUUUCCAUGAUUGGAAACUGAAAUGAUGACGGUCAUGGUUUAGAGAUCCAGACAUUGUUCCCAUGGUGAUGUGAAAUUGUGCGAAGUGUUGUGUAUGUGUCCCGCCGUCACUCUACUAGCUAGACCACUACUGCAUGGAUCUUCAGCAUCAAUUAGAACUAUGAUGACACUAAGGAAAUAUUCUACUAUCUUCACCAUGGUUACGGUUGAAUUGUAAUUCCCACAUAGCAAUUAUUGCUGUACAGUGUAAAGCCAGCAUGUAUGUUAUUCUAAGAAAGUGACGAGGUGUGUCAAGGCGGAAGCUGUGCAGCUGGACAGGACGAGAGUGGCUCUAUUCCAAUGGCUGUAAGCACGAAAUCACGUGGCCUUGUGCUGGAGACAUCAUUCUAUGAAACAGUCAACCACGUGUAUACCUCUAAUUUAAAGAACUGUGAUGACACUGAGGAAAUAUUCUACUGUCUUCACCGUGGUUACGGUUGAAUCGUAAUUCCCACAUAGCAAUUGCUGUACUGUGUAAAGUCAGCAUGUAUGUUUUUCUAAGAAAGUGACAAGGUGUGUCAAGGCGGAAGCUGUGCAGCUGGACAGGAUGAGAGUGGUUCUAUUCCAAUGGCUGUAAGCACGAAAUCACGUGGCCUUGUGCUGGAGACAUCAUUCUAUGAAUCAAUCAACCACAAGUAUACCUCUAAUUUAAACUCCUGAAAAUCUCAAUGGUUGUCACCUAGCAGACAGAAUAUGAGCCAGGAAGUUACCUCUGUAAAAGCCCAGAUAUUUCAUAAUAUGUGGGAGUAUCUUCAUUCUUCAAGGAGUCAUCGAUGAUCAACUAGGUAGUAGGACACAGUUCUCUGAUCAGAUGGAACCACUUUACAAGCUGGAAUUUAAACAGCUGAGACUACCAUCAGGAAAAUCCUUCAUGGUAACACUAACCCAGAACAUUGCUACUGAGUCUACCACACAGUAACACUGACCCAGACCAUUUCUACCGAGUCUACCACACAGUAAUGCUGACUAGGACUGUUACAACUGAGUAGUCCACACAGGAAAAAUGCAUAGUAAUGCAGACUUAGGAUGUUGCUACUGAUUCUUCCAUGCAAUAACACUGACCCCGAAGUGUUGUUUUUCUUUCGUCUUGAAAAUUCAGACACACAGCAGGAGUUACCUUUCAAUAAGCACAAUAAACUCUUUACUGUCUGUUAAUGUUAACAUUCCUGGAUUUGCUGAACACUGGAAAGAAAGCUGAGAUAAACAUGCAGCUCACUGUAUGUGACAUUAUUACAAAACUCAUUCAAAUGUGACAAUGAAAGAUAGACAUUAAACUUCUUUUAAAUAACAUUUAAGUAAUGCUUAAAUGUGGUAGUGAAGACUCACUGAAUGUGACAUUAAGAGUUCAGAUAACAGUGAAAGAAAGACAGUACUGUUGUACUAAAUAGUAAAAUUCAAAUGUGACCAUAUAAUAUUACAUUAAAAUCAUGUUUGAAAGUGACAGUAGGUACAUUAAAAUGGAGAUAGUGUUUUGAUUGUUAAGUAUGAAAUAAUAAAGUGUAACUGAUUG